AUUGAACGCUGGCGGCGUGCCUAAUACAUGCAAGUCGAACGCAGUGGGGACGGGUGAGUAACACGUGGGUACCCUCCCCAUCAGAGGGGAUAACACUUGGAAACAGGUGCUACACCGAUACUGAUGGAUGGACCCGCGGUGCAUUAGCUAGUUGGUGAGGUAAUGGUUCACCAAGGCCACGAUGCAUAGCCGACCGGAGAGGGGGGUCGGCCACACUGGGACUGAGAGACGGCCAAGACUCCUACGGGAGGCAGAAGUAGGGAAUCUUCGGAAAUGGACGAAAGUCGGACCGAGCAACGCCGCGUGAGUGAAGAAGGUUUGCGGAUCGUAAAACUCUGAUGUUAGAGAAGCGGUAUCUAACCAGAAAGCCACGGCUAACUACGUGCCAGCAGCCGCGGUAAUAC
rnacentral:rRNA from 1 species